GGCUUGCUAGCUCAGUUGGUAGAGCGUGAGGUUCUCAACCUCAAGGUCACAGGUUCGAGCCCCACAUUGGGCG